rnacentral:rRNA from 1 species
UGGGGAAUAUUGCGCAAUGGGCGAAAGCCUGACGCAGCGACGCCGCGUGAGGGAUGAAGGUUUUCGGAUUGUAAACCUCUGUCAGAAGGGAAGAAACCGCACUGUGCUAAUCAGCAGUGCCUUGACGGUACCUUCAAAGGAAGCACCGGCUAACUCCGUGCCAGCAGCCGCGGUAAUACGGAGGGUGCAAGCGUUAAUCGGAAUUACUGGGCGUACAGCGCACGUAGGCUGCUUUGUAAGUCAGGGGUGAAAUCCCACGGCUCAACCGUGGAACUGCCUUUGAUACUGCUUAGCUUGAAUCCGGGAGAGGGUGGCGGAAUUCCAGGUGUAGGAGUGAAAUCCGUAGAUAUCUGGAGGAACAUCAGUGGCGAAGGCGGCCACCUGGACCGGUAUUGACGCUGAGGUGCGAAAGCGUGGGGAGCAAACAGG